AAAUCACACUAGGUUUGGCUAAAGAUCAAUUCCUUCCAAUACAAAUCACACUAGGUUUGGCUAAAGAUCAAUUCCUUCCAAUACAAAUCACACUAGGUUUGGCUAAAGAUCAAUUCCUUCCAAUACAAAUCACACUAGGUUUGGCUAAAGAUCAAUUCCUUCCAAUACAAAUCACACUAGGUUUGGCUAAAGAUCAAUUCCUUCCAAUACAAAUCACACUAGGUUUGGCUAAAGAUCAAUUCCUUCCAAUACAAAUCACACUAGGUUUGGCUAAAGAUCAAUUCCAAAAUGUGAAACAUUGAAAUAUCAAUAUCAUUUAUAAUUCAUUAAUACUUUAUAUAGGCAACAAAUCAAUACAACUAUUUUUUCUUUCAAAAUUAGUUAUUCAGUAUAUCUCGAUAUCCAUUUUCAAAUCGUAAUUAGAAACUUUCAAUUUAAUUAAAUACGUCUGUUUUCCCCCCACUGUCCUGCAUUGUGUUUUCUGCUCCAGGAUACAUUUUAUAAAUACUUUUCCCCUAAAAGUCAAACACUCGUUAUCAACUUGUAGAUCAGUUAUCGAACCCACAGAUAAUCCAAGAACAACCCACCAAAGCCCAUCCGCAACGAAAUAACUAACAAACCAGUAAAACAGUAUUCAAUAUCAUCAGGUCAAAAUCAGAGAUGUAAUUUAUAAAACAUUAUAUAAAAUAAAACACUCUGGGGAAAGAACUUGAUACCACACUAAAGAGAGGCUACAAUUAUAAAAAUUUAUUUUUAAAAAAAGUAUCAGGUUUGGACACGUGUUAGUGUUGUGAGUGGAAUUUCUAUAACGUGUGUUUGUAGUUUGUACACUACAUGACCAAAAGUAUGUGGACACCUGCCCGUCCAACAUCUCAUUGCAAAAAACAUGGGUAUUACAUAUGGAGUUGGUCCUCCCCUUUGCUGCUAUAACAGCCUCCUCUCUUCUGGGAAGGCUUUCCACUAGAUGUUGGAACAUUGCUGCUAUAACAGACUCCUCUCUUCUGGGAAGGCUUUCCACUAGAUGUUGGAACAUUGCUGAGGGGACUUUCUUCCAUUCAGUCACAAGAGCAUUAGUGAGGUCAGUGCAUUGAUGUUGGGCGAUUAGGCCUCCUGGCUCGCAGUCUGCGUUCCAAUUCAUCCCAAAGGUGUUCGAUGGGGUUGAGGUCAGGGCUCUGUGCAGGCCAGUCAAGUUCUUCUACACUGAUCUCGACAAACCAUUUCCGUAUGGACCUCGCUUUGUGAACGGGGGCAUUGUCAUGCUGAAACAGGAAAGGGCCUUCCCCAAAACAUUUGUCUCAAAGUUGGAAGCAGAGAAUCAUCUUGAAUGUCAUUGUCUGCUGUAGCAUUAAGAUUUCCCUUCACUGGAACUAAGGGACCCGAACCAUGGAAAACAGCCCCAGACCAUUAUUCUUCCUCCACCAAACUUUACAGUUGGCACUAUGCAUUCAGGCAGGUAGCGUUCUCCUGGCAUUCGCCAAACCCAGAUUCAUCCGUCAGACUGCCAGAUGGUGAAGCGUUUCCACUACUCCAGAAUCCAAUGGUGGUGAGCUUUACACCACUCCAGCCGACGCUUGGCUUUGCGCAUGGUGAUCUUAGGCUUGUGUGCGGCUGCUCGGCCAUGGAAACCCAUUUCAUGAAGCUCCCAACGAACAGUUCUUGUGCUGACGUUGCUUCCAGAGGCAGUUUGAAACUCGGUAGUGAGUGUUGCAACCGAGGUCAGACGAUUGUUACGUGCCAAGCGCUUCAGCACUCGGGUGGUCCCGUUCUGUGAGCUUAUGUGGCCUACCACUUAGCGGCUGAGCCGCUCUGUAAUAACAGAACUUACAGUUGACCGGGGGGCAGCUCUAGCAGGGCAGAAAUUUGACAAACUGACUUGUUGGAAAGGUGGCAUCCUACGAUGGUGCCACGUUGAACGUCAAUGAGCUCUUCACUAAGGCAAUUCUACUACCAGUGUUUGUCUAUGGAGAUUGCAUGGAGGCAUGCUCAAUUUUAUACACCUGUCGGCAACAGAUGUCUGAAAUAGACGAAUCCACUCAUUUGAAGGGGUGUCCACAUACUUUUGUAUAUAUAGUGUAGCUAGACACGAUUACUUACUGUAAGACCUCUGUAAAAUGUGGCAAUACAUUUAAAAAGAUUGACAUAAAGGCACUGUAAUGAAUUGCGUAGAGAACCAUUUUUUACCCCUCUACUGUAGUUGCUGAGUCCCAUCAAGGCUUAAAACUUUCGUAACAGGUUUAUAUAUAUAUAUCUUUAUAAAACGGGCCGGUUUCCUCAUUCGGCCUAAACCUAGUUCUGGGCUAGAGAGCAGUGGUGAAUGGACAUUCUCCAUUGAAAGUGAUGUUUAGUCCAGGACCAAGGGGUCGUCUGAGAAAGCAGCCCUAUAAUAGUUCAGAAUGAACCAGUGACAUCAUUAUUAGGUAAAAAACAUGAACAACGUAUCUGAUUACAAUUCUCCUCUUAACUACUGUUGUUUUCCUAUUGGAGUGAACAGCAGCAGAUUGUUCCUCUCUAUUGUCCCUUCAGGGCUACUGGCCUCGUCCAUCUUCAUGAAGACAGUCUUCUAAUGGGUUCUAGCCUCGUCCAUCUUCACGAAGACAGUCUUCUAAUGGGUUCUGGCCUCGUCCAUCUUCACGAAGACAGUCUUCUAAUGGGUUCUAGCCUCGUCCAUCUUCACGAAGACAGUCUUCUAAUGGGUUCUGGCCUCGUCCAUCUUCAUGAAGACAGUCUUCUAAUGGGUUCUGGCCUCGUCCAUCUUCAUGAAGACAGUCUUCUAAUGGGUUCUAGCCUCGUCCAUCUUCAUGAAGACAGUCUUCUAAUGGGUUCUAGCCUCGUCCAUGAAGACAGUCUUCUAAU
ensembl:lncRNA